CUGGCCUGAACUCCAAAGUAUCAGGAAAAGAGGAAUGUGAGAGUGAAAGGAGAUGGUCCCUGGUGUUUGUUAACAAUGUGCAUAGUUACAGGAUUAUGGUUUUGGUAUAAGAACAAUGUUGAUGUCAGAGUUUUCCAAGAUGCCACGGUAGGAACAACUCGGGAUUGCAGCUUUCAGUGAAGGUGCAGAGGGUAAGUCCUAGCCGCAUUUCCAGAUGGAUAUUUCUUGCCCACAGAACAGGGAAAUUCCCAGGUGUAGGAGAGACACAGGAAGCCAGCACACCCUCUCGGCUUGCGCUGGCCCUUUCGGCCGGCUCCGCAGUGCAGCGGCACCCCACACAAAACGUGCUGAUCUGGGUGCCCAGUUAAACCGGCAAUCUGAGAUUUGGGAGGGCAGAUUAGCAUAUCCAUCAGAUUAACUGGGACUUGGACAGUGAGCCAGACAAGGAGAUUCCUGGGAAGUGACAUUUGAGCUGGUGCAGUGGGCUCCUGCAUGGGAAAUCACACAUAUCCCAGUGCCCUACCAGCAGGCAAAUAAAACACCUGGGAGAGAGUCAACCAUUAAACUUAAAAAAAAAAAAAGAGGGAGAAAGGGCUCUGAGGCAGGGAGCCAGGGACAAACAAAAUGGCAAUUUGAAA